GACGAACGCUGGCGGUGUGCCUAAUACAUGCAAGUAGAACGCUGAAGACUUUAGCUUGCUAAAGUUGGAAGAGUUGCGAACGGGUGAGUAACGCGUAGGGUUACCUGGCCUUACUAGCGGGGGAUAACUAUUGGAAACGAUAGCUAAUACCGCAUAANCAGCAUUUAACCCAUGUUAGAUGCUUGAAAGGAGCAAUUGCUUCACUAGUAGAUGGACCUGCGUUGUAUUAGCUAGUUGGUGAGGUAACGGCUCACCAAGGCGACGAUACAUAGCCGACCUGAGAGGGUGAUCGGCCACACUGGGACUGAGACACGGCCCAGACUCCUACGGGAGGCAGCAGUAGGGAAUCUUCGGCAAUGGGGGCAACCCUGACCGAGCAACGCCGCGUGAGUGAAGAAGGUUUUCGGAUCGUAAAGCUCUGUUGUAAGAGAAGA
rnacentral:rRNA from 1 species